GAUGAACGCUGGCGGCGUGCCUAAUACAUGCAAGUCGAGCGAACAGACGAGGAGCUUGCUCCUCUGACGUUAUCGGCGGACGGGUGAGUAACACGUGGAUAACCUACCUAUAAGACUGGGAUAACUUCGGGAAACCGGAGCUAAUACCGGAUAAUAUAUUGAACCGCAUGGUUCAAUAGUGAAAGACGGUUUUGCUGUCACUUAUAGAUGGAUCCGCGCCGCAUUAGCUAGUUGGUAAGGUAACGGCUUACCAAGGCAACGAUGCAUAGCCGACCUGAGAGGGUGAUCGGCCACACUGGAACUGAGACACGUUCCAGACUCCUACGGGAGGCAGCAGUAGGGAAUCUUCCGCAAUGGGCGAAAGCCUGACGGAGCAACGCCGCGGGAGUGAUGAAGGUCUUCGGAUCGUAAAACUCUGUUAUUAGGGAAGAACAAAUGUGUAAGUAACUAUGAACGUCUUGACGGUACCUAAUCAGAAAGCCACGGCUAACUACGUG
rnacentral:rRNA from 1 species